rnacentral:rRNA from 1 species
UACAGAGGUCCCAAGCGUUGUUCGGAUUCACUGGGCGUAAAGGGUGCGUAGGUGGUUGGGCAAGUCUGAUGUGAAAUCUCCAGGCUUAACCCGGAAAUGGCAUUGGAAACUGCCUGGCUAGAGUGUUGGAGGGGGGACUGGAAUUCUCGGUGUAGCAGUGAAAUGCGUAGAUAUCGAGAGGAACACCAGUGGCGAAGGCGAGUCCCUGGACAACGACUGACACUGAGGCACGAAAGCUAGGGGAGCAAACAGG